CUUCGAGUGGAAUCUGUUUACCGAAGUAAUUUGAGACUAAUGUCAGGCACCCGUCUUUAGUAUUUUCUUACUUCGAAAAGGAGGUGUAUUUAACUUUAUCCAACUGCUCGUGAAUAUUACAGUUCGUAUCCCUGAAUAUCGUGGAUCAAUAAUACUUAUUCGAGGUACUGGUGCCGGGGAUAAUUAAAACGGGAACAGUGACCUGCCGUCGACCGAAGAUCGUUGCCCGAUAAUCUCGAAUUUCCAUUUAUUUGCAGAGUAAUUAUAAAUGCAGACAGAGUGCAACAUGGAUAAAGGUAAUUCUAUGUACAUAUUUCUUACAUUUAUUGUCGUUCGAACUUAAAUUGUUAAAACAUUAAACCAGGCACUGUAUCCUGUUCGGUGUUGUGGAGGUAUCUUUUUGCUCGAGGUAUCAAGGUACGAAGUUUCGAACUGUCAACUUUUUUACUUGUUUCAAUAAUUUCUUUUAGGUUAGACAGUUCGUAUUCUGGAAUGCUCUACUGUGGACCACGCAAUAAUGUCAAUAAUUAUGACAUUAACCUCAAAUUGUUAAAAUUCUAUCGAAAAAUGGCGGGAAACUUUUAAAAGAGUAAACCAUCAAUAUGCAAACAGCGAUAAACAAAAUGCUAAUUACAAAUGUAGCAAAGUACAAAUGGCAGUGGGAAAAGAGAAGAAAGAACGGCAGAAUUACUGAAAGGCGAAUCGUUUUAAAUAUUGUUCGGAUUAAAGAAUGUUUGAAGAUGUCGAAGAAAAAAUCUUGAAACAUCGGUGCUCGUCGAGCGUCUCAAGACCAACUGAAAUAUGCAGCAGGGAACGCAAGGAAUUAUCGAGCGGCUACUAUAUUUGGAACAUCACUGCCAGCGUGUCAACGUAUGUCGUGAAAAAUCUAAAGGUUUCGAGAGCAUGAAAGGGGACAGACGGAGCAAGCGAAAAACCUUUGUCGCCCUUGUAUCGUCCCGUGCGCCAACUUCCCAGUUGCGCACUGUACACGUAUCUUGCUCGAUGAAUGCGAACAGGGAGAAUUCAGAAACACGAAAUAAUCCCUUGUUUUAUGAAUCCAGCAGAGCGCGCGUACGUAGAUACGUGUAGAGGUACGUGGCCGUCGAAGUUAACGAAGAGCUUGUAGGCGAACAAAAGCCCGUUGUUAUCCGGGAAAGGGUAAUUGUUCGAUCCGGCUAGGCAACAUCAAAUUUCUGUUUGCGAAAAUCUAUAGCCAUUUAGUUGCCGAAUCCAGGCAUUAUCUUCUGUUAAAUAUGAAAUAUAACGGUACACGGAGGGAUGAGACAAUCGCGGUGAAGAAUAACGAAAUGAUUAAUUCCUCUUGAGCGAUUCCUUUCAACCAAUGGCGCUUUACCCAUGGUGCACCGGUGACACGAACACGCGAGAUGGAGGGGGACGAGAUCGGAUGGCAGGUGACGGCCGGAAUCAUUUUUAAGCGAUCUAAUUCUUUCACGUUUUCUUUUCGAGCGAACAAUGAUUUAUCGCGUCGUAAAUUUUUCAAGAGGAUUUCAUACAAAGAGAAGUUGGCGAAUGAGGAAGAAUAGAAGGAAAGAAGGAUAGAGUGGAGAUAAA